UAGGUCCAAAAAUCAGAAUCAGCACAGAUGGAUAAAGUACUGUUCUUGCUAUUAUCACCCCAUUAGAAAAUUUGUGGAAGACAAAUUCAGAAGUCUAAAGCAUGGACUGGAACUAGCAGACAAGGGAGCAAGGAAUUUGGGUAAAAUUAAAAUUGAAUAUGAGGGAGGGAAAUUAGGGAUUUGUACUCUUGAGAAAUUAUGGCAGUUAAAGUGGAAAAAUAAAGAAAAUAAAAAUAGUGUCUGCCCUUUUAAAAGAAAGAGCCACAUUAAUGCUAAAUCAUUCCCUGGCAUU
rnacentral:lncRNA from 1 species